GACGAGCCUGACAAACGUUAUUCGGAAUCACUGGGCUUAAAGGGUGCGUAGGCGGCGCGGAGGGUGGGAUGUGAAAUCCCCCGGCUCAACCGGGGAAUUGCGUCCCAAACCGCCGUGCUCGAGGAAGAUAGAGGUGAGCGGAACAGAUGGUGGAGCGGUGAAAUGCGUUGAUAUCAUCUGGAACACCCGUGGCGAAGGCGGCUCACUGGGUCUUCUCUGACGCUGAGGCACGAAAGCUAGGGUAGCGAACGGG
rnacentral:rRNA from 1 species